rnacentral:snRNA from 1 species
GGAUGUGAGGGCGAUCUGGCUGCGACAUCUGUCACCCCAUUGAUUGCCAGGGUUGAUUUGGCUGAUCUGGCUGGCUAGGCGGGUGUCCUCUUCCUCACUCACCGCUCCAGGUGCGUUCCUCCCGAAGCUGCGCGCUCGGUCGAAGAGGACAACCUUCCCCUAUAGAGGUGUACCGUUCAUUGGUCCAAGGGUAUAUGGUAGCUGCGCUCCCCAGCUAGAACCUCCAAACAAGCUCAAGGUCCAUUUGUAGGAGAACGUAGGGUAUUUUUUUAUUAUUUAGGGGACCUAAUAAAU